GUUAAAGAGAAAGUGCCAACACAAAGAUGAAGUGUUUCUUGGCCAUUGCUUUGAUCGCUACCUUCCUUUUGGCUUUGUUCUGUCAUUCUGGAAGUGCCCUGGUAUGUUACACUUGUCCUAUGAGUCCCUGUAAGACUAACGCAACAUGCGAACCCGAAAAAAAUGCUUGCAUGGUGGCAUAUCUUGGUACAAGAAAUGUCUCUGAGUGCUGGAAAUAUUCCCAAUGCGACCUGGAUUAUAUUGGGGCACAUUUCAAGGUUAACAGUUUUCGCUUUAGGUGCUGCCAAACAGAUCUGUGUAAUGGCAGUCCAAUUCCAGUGGCUAGUAAAAUAGUCGUGGCCAUUGCUUCCUUAGUGACAGUAAUCAAACUGGUCAGUUUUUGAUAUGGAGAAGAGAAGACAUACUAUUAGAUGCUUAAAAUUAAUACCUACUUACAGUUUUUGUGAAAGUGCAACAUUUGUAUAAGGGAAAUGGGUAUCAUGGAAAAACCACCACAUAGCAGUAUAAAAUGUAAAUGUGCUUUUGUUUCUGGCAUUUUACUUGCUGAUGUGUGUCUUUUCUAUAUGGUUUGAAAGAAGCUCAAGCUCAUGAAUUAUCAGUAGGUUGGAAGAAUGUUUAAUUGUAGAAGAUUCCAAUCUUUGAAUAAUAAUUUAUUGUAAUUGUCUGGCAAUUAAUAUGUUUGUAUAUCUGCAUAACAGUUCACUUGUCUAAGACACACUAUUGCCAAUUUUCAUUAUUAUUUUUUCACUUGAGAAAUUAAGACUUUCACUUUUACUUUGCAAUCAGAUCCAUUGGUAGAACUAGCUCUUAAAAUUGCAAGAAUCAAAUAUAUUUAUUUACCUGAUCCUUUUUUCCAACUUUGUUACUUAAAAACUUGUUCUUGCGAACUCAUUCAUUUAGAGCAGGCAAGCAUUAUUUGGGCAGUUGUGGUGAUCUCCAUUUAUAAAGGGAGUGCAGUGGUGGUCUCUUUGUAAACCAACAAUACAGUCUUAUGCUGCUCAGAUAUCUCAUCUCAAUAUACAGUACUACUAGACACUGGCAUAUGAGCCCAGCAUUUCAAACCAUUCAUAAUAAAAAUACACAUACAGUAGUACAAGCACUAUACCAUCAGUAUACAUAUUUAUUAACAUAAAUGUUAUGCAGUUGUUGGAAUCCAGUAUCUUUUGUUUGGAGACCAGACACCAUUUAAUUGGUUUGUAUUAUCUUAAACAUACUGAAUUUACAGUACUGACCAUACUAAUUUCAUUACUUUGGAAGUAGCAUGGUUCCCUACUAGUAGAUGAGUAUGAUUUAAACAGCAAUUUGAGUAAUGGUGACUUAUUUUCGACAGUCUUGUAUUGAAUGCUGGGUGUUUAUGUACAAGCAUUUGCAUUUAAGGUUGAAAUUAUAAUACAGCCUGAAUUUGUGACAUACAGUCUGAUAUAAUCUGUGUGAGGUUGGGAAAUAAAGGUGUUGCUGAAGUAUUGCCCAAGGAACCUUCCCUAACCAGAGAAUUCAGGAGGACUGCAUAUAAAAUUAUGUCUUUACUGGGAUCACCACCUUCUGGAGGACAUAGAUGGCUGCAGGCUGUGAGAGGAAAUGGGAAUGCCUUGUGUGCCAAGGCAGUACUUUGAAGUAGUAAAACUAGAACAAAGAGCAGAUCUGUAAAUGCAUUAAUCAUUGGGGAAAUAUUUCUAUCAGAGCAACUUUUUGCAGGGAUUGUUUGAUGUAUCAUGGAGAGUGAGGAAGCCACAGGAGAGCCCCUGCUGCCUCUUUGGACACUCCUUUUAAAUACCCUUUGGGAUGGAGUCAGAAGGAAACCACACCAUGUGUCCUGUGAUCUGGCUGAUAAAAGUAUGCACAUGUGAGAUGUUGUUAUAUGAUUUUAUUAAUGUAUUGCCUGCACUUUAAAAAGCUGUAAAUAAAUAUCCACAUUUGAAAAGCAGGGAUCCAAUCACUGCCCAUGUAACUUGCUCUGGCUAGAAGUGGCUAGAAAAUUCUCUCAUGUCUGGCUUACGAGGGAGUUGUGUUGGGCCAGGUAAACUUAUAAUUUGGUGUUUUAUCAUUUGAAUAUCUUCAGAAAAGACACUUGGGAUGUUUUUGCACCAUCAUACGUCCACAGUAUAUUCAGUUUUGCAUCUAAUGCUAUUUGAUAAUAAAAUAUAAAACCAAAAACUGG